rnacentral:rRNA from 1 species
GACGAACGCUGGCGGCGUGCUUAACACAUGCAAGUCGAACGGAAAGGCCCUGCUUUUGUGGGGUUCUCGAGUGGCGAACGGGUGAGUAACACGUGAGUAACCUGCCCUUCACUUUGGUAUAACUUCAGGAAACUGGGGCUAAUCCCGGAUAGGAGCUCCUGCUGCAUGGUGGGGGUUGGAAAGUUUCGGCGGUUGGGGAUGGACGGCCGGCUUAUCGGCUUGUUGGUGGGGUAGUGGCUUACCAAGGCUUUGAUGGGUAGCCGGCCGGGGAGGGUGACCGGCCACAUGGGGACUGAGAUACGGCCAAGACUCCUACGGGAGGCAGCAGGGGGGAAUAUUGCACAAUGGGCGGAAGCCUGAUGCAGCAACGCCGCGUGCGGGAGAACGGCCUUCGGGUUGUAAACCGCUUUGGCCUGGGACGAAGCGUGAGUGACGGUAAUGGGUAAAGAAGCACCGGCUAACUACGUG